rnacentral:tRNA from 6 species
GCCCGGGUGGUGGAAUGGUAGACACAGGGGACUUAAAAUCCCCCGGUCAUUGCGACCGUGCCGGUUCAAGUCCGGCUCCGGGUACCA